UACGGAGGGUGGAAGCGUUAUCCGGAUUUACUGGGUUUAAAGGGUGUGUAGGCGGGCUUUUAAGUCAGUGGUGAAAUCUCCGGGCUCAACCUGGAAACUGCCAUUGAUACUAUUAGUCUUGAAUUCUGUUGAGGUAGGCGGAAUAAGUCAUGUAGCGGUGAAAUGCAUAGAUAUGACUUAGAACACCAAUUGCGAAGGCAGCUUACUAAGCAGAUAUUGACGCUGAGGCACGAAAGCGUGGGGAUCAAACAGG
rnacentral:rRNA from 1 species